rnacentral:rRNA from 1 species
CAGUCGCCGCGGUAAUACCGAGGGUGCGAGCGUUAAUCGGAUUUACUGGGCGUAAAGCGUGCGUAGGCGGCUUCUUAAGUCGGAUGUGAAAUCCCUGAGCUUAACUUAGGAAUUGCAUUCGAUACUGGGAAGCUAGAGUAUGGGAGAGGAUGGUAGAAUUCCAGGUGUAGCGGUGAAAUGCGUAGAGAUCUGGAGGAAUACCGAUGGCGAAGGCAGCCAUCUGGCCUAAUACUGACGCUGAGGUACGAAAGCAUGGGGAGCAAACAGGAUUAGAUACCCCAGUAGUCCCUGUCUCUUAUAU